rnacentral:tRNA from 1 species
GUGUGGCUCAGUGGUAGAGCACUUGCUGGCCAUGUGUGAGGCCCUGGGUUCAAUCCCCAGCAC